rnacentral:misc_RNA from 1 species
UUUCCGUAGGUGAACCUGCGGAAGGAUCAUUCAUAAUAAAGUGUUUUAUGGCACUUUUUAAAAAUCCAUAUCCACCUUGUGUGCAAUGUUAGAUCUCGUCAAUCUUGGCGAGAUUUUUAUACAUCAACUCAUUCUUUAACUAAUUUGUCUGAAAAAUAUUAUGAAUACUUAAUUCAAAAUACAACUUUCAACAACGGAUCUCUUGGCUCUCGCAUCGAUGAAGAACCAGC